rnacentral:rRNA from 1 species
GACGAACGCUGGCGGCGUGCUUAACACAUGCAAGUCGAGCGGAAAGGCUCCUUCGGGGGUACUCGAGCGGCGAACGGGUGAGUAACACGUGAGUAAUCUGCCCUUGGCUUUGGGAUAACUACCGGAAACGGUGGCUAAUACCGGAUACGACCACUCCUUGCAUGAGGUGGUGGUGGAAAGUUUUUUCGGCCAGGGAUGUGCUCGCGGCCUAUCAGCUUGUUGGUGGGGUAAUGGCCUACCAAGGCUUCGACGGGUAGCCGGCCUGAGAGGGUGACCGGCCACACUGGGACUGAGACACGGCCCAGACUCCUACGGGAGGCAGCAGUGGGGAAUAUUGGACAAUGGGCGGAAGCCUGAUCCAGCAACGCCGCGUGAGGGAUGACGGCCU